AGCUUUGCGCAGAGGCGGUGUCGUACCCAAUGAGGUUUUAACCGAGGGGCGACUAUUGCCAGAUGAAAACUACUAUAGUCACUAAGAACUUAAGAAAUGCACAGCUAGCUUAUUAUGAUCACGUUUCUUGCUUCUUAAUUUGUUGUUUGGCGCUGUUAUCAGCUAACGCC
rnacentral:snRNA from 1 species